CCUACGGGAGGCAGCAGUGAGGAAUAUUGGACAAUGGGCGCAAGCCUGAUCCAGCCAUGCCGCGUGCAGGAAGACGGUCCUAUGGAUUGUAAACUGCUUUUGUACAGGAAGAAACACUCCCUCGUGAGGGAGCUUGACGGUACUGUAAGAAUAAGGAUCGGCUAACUCCGUGCCAGCAGCCGCGGUAAUACGGAGGAUCCAAGCGUUAUCCGGAAUCAUUGGGUUUAAAGGGUCCGUAGGCGGUUUAAUAAGUCAGUGGUGAAAUCUGGUCGCUCAACGAUCAAACGGCCAUUGAUACUGUUAGACUUGAAUUAUUAGGAAGUAACUAGAAUAUGUAGUGUAGCGGUGAAAUGCUUAGAUAUUACAUGGAAUACCAAUUGCGAAGGCAGGUUACUACUAAUGGAUUGACGCUGAUGGACGAAAGCGUGGGGAGCGAACAGGAUUAGAUACCCUGGUAGUCCACGCCGUAAACG
rnacentral:rRNA from 1 species